GUUGUCCUCCGCCAGCACCGUUACCGCAAGGGACAGCUGUGGCGGCGGCUCCCGACUGCGCCCUGGGCAGUUCCUUGCGGCCGCCAGCCUUUGCCCUGCAGGCAGGCCUCGGUAAAAGCGGUGCCUUGGGGGCGUUCGGCAGGCGGGCCGGGCUGAACGGGCAGCAGCGCUCCCCCGCAGCAGCCUGCUCCCGUCUCAGGGCCGGCGGUGCUGGCUGACAAAGCCCCUGUCCUCUGGCAGGGCCCGCAGGCAGAGCAGCAGUGAGGUGCCUCGGAACAGCUGUCCUGGCAGGUAACCUCUUCUGAGUGCCUGGGCUCGGAAACUUCAGCUCCAUAAAUGCAACUCCUGACUUGCAGCAGCCUGAUUGAUGAUCCCCAAAGAAGUUCUAGUUUGCCAUUGCUGCCAGCAAGCUCAGCCUCUGAGCAUACACACCAACAGCGUCUUCACACCAGUCAGAACAUUCCAGCCGUCACUCCAGAAUGAAAGAGGACAGUCAGAGCAAAUCACGUACCCAGUGAAUCUGAAAGUAAAAGAUCUGUACUACUUUCUGCUAGCCCCCACACUUUGCUACUACCUGAAUUUCCCAAGAAAUUAACACUGCAGAUAUGGCUGUAUCGUUAAGAGGCUCCUG